rnacentral:rRNA from 1 species
UAGGGAAUCUUCCGCAAUGGGCGAAAGCCUGACGGAGCAACGCCGCGUGAGUGAUGAAGGUCUUCGGAUCGUAAAACUCUGUUCUUAGGGAAGAACAAAUGUGUAAGUAACUAUGCACGUCUUGACGGUACCUAAUCAGAAAGCCACGGCUAACUACGUGCCAGCAGCCGCGGUCAUACGUAGGUGGCAAGCGUUAUCCGGAAUUAUUGGGCGUAAGCGCGCGUAGGCGGUUUUUUACGUCUGAUGUGAAUGCCUACGGCGCAACCGUGGAGGGUGAUGGGAAACUGGAAAUCUUGAGUGCAGAAGAGGAAAGUGGGAUGCCAUGUGUAGCGGUGAAAUGCGCAGAGAUAUGGAGGAACACCAGUGGGGAGGGCGACUUUCUGGGCUGUAACUGACGCUGAUGUGCGAAAGCGUGGGGAUCAAACAGG